GAUGAACGCUGGCGGCGUGCUUAACACAUGCAAGUCGAGCGGAAAGGCCCUUUCGGGGGUACUCAAGCGGCGAACGGGUGAGUAACACGUGAGUAAUCUGCCCUUGGCUUCGGGAUAGCCACCGGAAACGGUGAUUAAUACCGGAUACGACACAUCACUGCAUGGUGCGUGUGUGGAAAGUUUUUUCGGCCAGGGAUGUGCUCGCGGCCUAUCAGCUUGUUGGUGGGGUAAUGGCCUACCAAGGCUUCGACGGGUAGCCGGCCUGAGAGGGUGACCGGCCACACUGGGACUGAGACACGGCCCAGACUCCUACGGGAGGCAGCAGUGGGGAAUAUUGGACAAUGGGCGGAAGCCUGAUCCAGCAACGCCGCGUGAGGGAUGACGGCCUUCGGGUUGUAAACCUCUUUCAGCACAGACGAAGCGCAAGUGACGGUAUGUGCAGAAGAAGGACCGGCCAACUACGUGCCAGCCGCCGCAGUAAGAC
rnacentral:rRNA from 1 species